UUAUAUGAGGCAGAAUACAUUUUUAAAACAUUCAUAAACAUUUUCUCAUUAGAUUGAUAACCUAUAUUGUAGAAUGAAUAUAUUCUGGUACUUUUGAUAAUGAAACUUUAUAUACAGUGGGUGUAGAAAGUAUUCGUACAUUGAUCUAUUUCCAAAAAAACUAUGUAAAAUUGUAAUUUAUUAACUUAUUUUUUAUAAACAAUGACAUUCUAGAUAUUCUCGGAAAUCUCUAGAAUAGAUAGAGUACAAAAAAAAAAAUAGCUAUUUAUGUAAGUUACGAAAUUAACAAAAAAAAACAAAACAAACAAAAUGUUGAAGCAAUAAGUAUUCAUAAGUAACGUAUAAACGUCGAUAAAACAGAAUUUGAUUUCUAGUGCUGCCAUUUAGCGGUGAAUUGCUGAACUGCUAAAAAUUUUUUGAUCAGUGUUACCACCACCAAGUACGCAAUCCGAAGGGGUCGUCAUUUGUUCCGCGGCAAUGAAUGUGAUAGGACGCUUUGAAGGACGUGUGUAUUGUGGUGAGUGUCCUUCAUUUGUACAUAUUCGCUUCUAAUCUAAUCGUCAUCCUCUGUUAAUGCUUUUAUCCAAUAAUGAUAGAUAUUUAAUACUAAAUUCAAUUAAUAUCGCGAGAAAAUUGGUACCGGUUUACACUUUUUUUUCGCCGCUUGAGUGUCAAUUGUCGUUGACAUUUUUAAGUUAGAUACAGUCUUCCGCGAGAUAUUUUCAACUCGAUUCUUGUUUAGUUAUAGUACAGCUGUAUUUGUUUCAACAAGCUUACAUUAAUUCGUCGUUUUGUCUGUAGAUUGAAACCGAUUGAAAUUCGAACGCGAGUGUUGCAUCUCGACGCCAUGACAGUCAACGUGCAAACGAAAUUUCAUCAAGGGAUUGUGCACUCCAGUACGAUAGUUUAUCGUUCCAUAUAUGCGGGUCAAUUACCAGAAUCAUCGUGGCAGGUCAAUUAUUGUAAUCAUAGUACACCGUUUCGCGUAUCUGUGAUCGAUGCAGCAUUCAACGGAGUAACGAUGCGGAGGAUGAUAAAAUGGCGCGAAACAGCGACCCUGAUGGCGCGCAUCACGGAAGAGGAAGUCGCGGCGAUAAGAAAAAACGUGACGCCUCCCCCAAGGAAAGGGA